rfam:Gossypium hirsutum cultivar TM-1 chromosome 25, whole genome shotgun sequence
CACGUCAGUGCUACUUGCUGAUGUGGAAGGAUAUCGUGCCCCUGAGGGAGCGAUUUCCUUCCACGUCAACAGGUCAUGCUGACGUGG